rnacentral:rRNA from 1 species
AACGAACGCUGGCGGCAGGCCUAACACAUGCAAGUCGAGCGAGGACUUCGGUCCUAGCGGCGGACGGGUGAGUAACGCGUGGGAACGUGCCCUUUGCUUCGGAAUAGCCCUGGGAAACUGGGAGUAAUACCGGAUGAGCCCUUUGGGGGAAAGAUUUAUCGGCGAAGGAUCGGCCCGCGUUGGAUUAGGUAGUUGGUGGGGUAAUGGCCUACCAAGCCGACGAUCCAUAGCUGGUUUGAGAGGAUGAUCAGCCACACUGGGACUGAGACACGGCCCAGACCCACACGGGAGGCAGCAGGGGGGAAUCUUAAAAAAUGGGGGAAAACCUGAUCUAGCCAUGACGGGUGAGGGAAGAAGGCCUUAGGGUUGAAAAGCUCUUUCAGCUGGGAAGAUAAUGAGGGUACCAGCAGAAGAAGCCCCGGCUAACUCCGG